GGCCAGUGCUGAAAAGGUACUGGCUGUUUUAAUGCAGCCUGGGACGGUUACAAGCCCGUGAAAUGCAGAGUAGAAC
rnacentral:ribozyme from 1 species